GUACACUCCUACGGGAGGCAGCAGUGGGGAAUUUUGGACAAUGGGGGCAACCCUGAUCCAGCAAUGCCGCGUGAGUGAAGAAGGCCUUCGGGUUGUAAAGCUCUUUUGUCAGGGAAGAAACGGUGGUGGCGAAUAACUACUACUAAUGACGGUACCUGAAGAAUAAGCACCGGCUAACUACGUGCCAGCAGCCGCGGUAAUACGUAGGGUGCAAGCGUUAAUCGGAAUUACUGGGCGUAAAGCGUGCGCAGGCGGUUGUGUAAGUCAGAUGUGAAAUCCCCGGGCUCAACCUGGGAAUUGCAUUUGAGACUGCACGGCUAGAGUGUGUCAGAGGGGGGUAGAAUUCCACGUGUAGCAGUGAAAUGCGUAGAUAUGUGGAGGAAUACCGAUGGCGAAGGCAGCCCCCUGGGAUAACACUGACGCUCAUGCACGAAAGCGUGGGGAGCAAACAGGAUUAGAUACCCCAGUAGUCCCAUGA
rnacentral:rRNA from 1 species